GAAGUCUGGAUAGUAUCAACUGAAACAUCAUUUCCUAUUUGUCUUGACGUUCUUUGACAAGAGCAUUCUCAACUUUCAUUUCCUUGAUGGUCUUUAGAAGCACAUCAGGAAUAUCUCUAAAAGAAGUUCCAGCAGACUAUUGAUUAUGAGAAACCUCAAUCUAUUGUUCUUCAAUCUGUUGGUCCUCAGAAGCAUCUGGUUGAACAUCAACUUCUUCUAUGACACAUUCUGGAUGCUCAUAAUCUACUUCAGCUUCUCGAAUAACUUCCCUAAUCUCUGGAGCAGGAAGAUACAAUGGAGAAUGUCGUAACUUCUAGACUUCUAUUAAGGGAACAAACUCAGAACAAAAGUUUCUUUCAAAUAAGUUAUACCCAAAGUACUUUAGCUUAGAGAUUUUGGAGUUAAUCCAUCUUUUGUAGGAUUCCCAAGUUGAGUCACUUUCAAUAAGAUUAACUGAUGAGCGACUAGUCGUCAUAGCUUUGUGAAGACGACUUCUUGAGUAUGACUUAAACUUCCUCAGAAUCUUACCAAUAUUGGGACUAGGUUAGGUGGUUUAGGGAUUCUGACAGAAAGAUCUAUUAUGGUUUCAUCAGGAUCAG
rnacentral:lncRNA from 1 species